AUUGAACGCUGGCGGCAUGCCUUACACAUGCAAGUCGAACGGCAGCACGGGAGCAAUCCUGGUGGCGAGCGGCGAACGGGUGAGUAAUACAUCGGAACGUGCCCAGUAGUGGGGGAUAGCCCGGCGAAAGCCGGAUUAAUACCGCAUACGACCUACGGGUGAUAGCGGGGGAUCGCAAGACCUCGCGCUAUUGGAGCGGCCGAUGUCAGAUUAGCUAGUUGGUGGGGUAAAGGCCUACCAAGGCGACGAUCUGUAGCUGGUCUGAGAGGACGACCAGCCACACUGGGACUGAGACACGGCCCAGACUCCUACGGGAGGCAGCAGUGGGGAAUUUUGGACAAUGGGCGCAAGCCUGAUCCAGCCAUGCCGCGUGCGGGAAGAAGGCCUUCGGGUUGUAAACCGCUUUUGUACGGGAAGAAACCUCACUACGUGUAGUGAGUUGACGGUACCGUGAGAAUAAGGAUCGGCUAACUUCGUGCCAGCCGCCGCGGUAACAC
rnacentral:rRNA from 1 species